UGAGGAAUAUUGGUCAAUGGGCGCAAGCCUGAACCAGCCAAGUAGCGUGCAGGAAGACGGCCCUAUGGGUUGUAAACUGCUUUUAUACGAGAAUAAUUUGAUGCACGUGUGCGUUAUUGCAUGUAUCGUAUGAAUAAGGACCGGCUAAUUCCGUGCCAGCAGCCGCGGUAAUACGGAAGGUCCAGGCGUUAUCCGGAUUUAUUGGGUUUAAAGGGAGUGUAGGCGGUUUGUUAAGCGUGUUGUGAAAUUUAGAUGCUCAACAUUUAACUUGCAGCGCGAACUGUCAGACUUGAGUACACGCAACGUAUGCGGAAUUCAUGGUGUAGCGGUGAAAUGCUUAGAUAUCAUGAAGAACUCCGAUUGCGAAGGCAGCAUACGGGAGUGUAACUGACGCUUAAGCUCGAAGGUGCGGGUAUCGAACA
rnacentral:rRNA from 1 species